rnacentral:rRNA from 1 species
AAAGAGUGGCAGCCCCAGCCGGAAGAGGGUGAGUGCGUGCUUCUGGCUACCCAUGUCGACCGCGGAUUCUCUUUGCCGCCGAGCAUUUUCUUCCGUGGUUUCUUGAACUUUUUUGGAGCGCAACUCCACCACUUCACCCCUAAUUCUAUCGCCUAUCUUGCCGCGUUUGUGUCCAUGUGCGAGAGUUUUCUGGGCUGUCGACCGCACUGGGGCUUGUGCAAGCACAUAUUCACAUGUCGCUCUCAAACUGUGAAGAAGGCGAGUCCAGGUGACGAAAGAACCCGAGUGGUCCAAAUGUGUGGAGGUCUGGGGAUCCAGGUGAGAAACAAGAGC